GAUGAAGAACCAGCGAAAUGCGAUAAGUAGUGUGAAUUGCAGAAUUCAGUGAAUCAUCGAAUCUUUGAACGCACAUUGCGCCCCUUGGUAUUCCAUGGGGCAUGCCUGUUCGAGCGUCAUUUGUACCUUCAAGCUCUGCUUGGUGUUGGGUGUUUGUCUCGCCUCUGCGUGUAGACUCGCCUCAAAAUAAUUGGCAGCCGGCGUAUUGAUUUCGGAGCGCAGUACAUCUCGCGCUUUGCACUCAUAACGACGACGUCCAAAAGUACAUUUUUACACUCUUGACCUCGGAUCAGGUAGGGAUACCCGCUGAACUUAAGCAUAUCAAUAAGCGGAGGA
rnacentral:misc_RNA from 1 species